ACAUGCAUGAAAUUUGGUGCCGUGACUCGGAUCGGGGGACCUCCCUUGGGAGAUCAAUUCUCUGUCCUCCUGUUCUUUGCUCCUUGAGAAAGAUCCACCUAUGGUUCUCAGACCGUCCAGCCCAAGAAACAUCUCACCAAUUUCAAAUCCGGUGCUUGCUACAAGUGCCAGAAAUCCGGCCACCAGGCCAAGGAAUGCCUGCAGCCCAGGAUUCCUCCUAAGCCACGUCCCAUCUGUGCGGGACCCCACUGGAAAUUGGACUGUCCAACUCACCUGGCAUCCACUCCCAGAGCCCCUGGAACUCUGGCCCAAGGCUCUCUGACUGCUUCCCAGAUCUUCUUGGCUUAGUGGCUGAAGACUAACGCUGCCCGAUUGCCUCGGAAGCCCCCUAGACCAUCACGGACGCCGAGCUUCGGGUAACUCUCACAGUGGAGGUGUUAAGCAUACUCUCCUCAGUGUUCUCAAAGAAUAUUAGGUG